CAUUACCAUGCAAACUUCCACCGAAAAUUGGUUUGAACGAGAUCUAGUAAGUAGUUUUUUGGGUUCCAACUGAAACUCAAAAAUUUUUUUUUUCAUCAAACCCAUACGUGUGGGGUAUCUAUGGAUAGGUCUUCAAAAAUGAUAUUGAGGUUUCUAAUAUCAUUUUUUUCUAAACUGAAUAGUUUACGCGAGAGACACUUCCGGUAAAAUGUGGGUCCCCCCCGUAACUUCUAAAAUAAGAGAAUGAGAAAACUAAAAGAAAUAUAUGAUGUACAUUACCAUGCAAACUUCCACCGAAAAUUGGUUUGAACGAGAUCCAGUAAGUAUUUUUUUUUUAUACGUCAUAAA